CCCUUAGAUGUUCUGGGCUGCACGCGCGCUACACUGAAGCGUUCAACGAGUAUUCACCUUGCCCGGGAGGGUUGGGUAAUCUUUUGAAAACGCUUCGUGAUGGGGAUAGAUUAUUGCAAUUAUUAAUCUUCAACGAGGAAUUCCUAGUAAGCGCGAGUCAUCAGCUCGUGCUGAUUACGUCCCUGCCCUUUGUACACACCGCCCGUCGCUGCCCGGAACUGAGCCGUUUCGAGAAGACUGAGGAUUGCUGACUUGAGGCCUUCACGGGCUUCUAGUCGGUGAAAAUCAAUUUAAUCGCAGCGGCUUGAACCGGGCAAAAGUCGUAACA
rnacentral:rRNA from 1 species